rnacentral:rRNA from 1 species
AAUGAACGUUGGCGGCGUGGAUUAGGCAUGCAAGUCGAGCGUACCCAGCAAUGGGGAAGCGGCAAACGGGGUAGUAAGGCGUCGGUACGUGCCCUCGGGACGAGGAUAGCCACGGGAAACUGUGGGUAAUACUCGAUGACAUCGUGAGAUCAAAGGUGUGAUUCCGCCCGGGGAGCGGCUGACGUGGUAUUAGGUAGUUGGUGGGGUAAUGGCCCACCAAGCCUGGGAUGCCUAGGGGGUGUGAGAGCAUGGCCCCCACCAUUGGGACUGAGAUACUGCCCAGACACCUACGGGUGGCUGCAGUCGAGAAUCUUCGGCAAUGGGCGGCAAGCCUGAUCGAGCGACGCCGCGUGCGGGAUGAAGGCCUCGGUUGUAA